rnacentral:rRNA from 1 species
GCCGGCAGAUCCUGCAUGCUUUGCCCGCCGCUGCGCCUCUCCUUCUCUCCCCCGCCUAGCCGGUACCGCCGCCGCUGCUUCCCGCGGAAUAAUAAUAAAAGUAGCCCCCGAUAAAACGGGCCGGCCGCCUCCCUCGGCGCCCGCCUCCCCGACCCGCACGCCACGCGGGACUCACCCACCCUCCCCUUCCCUCCCCCCUCCCUCCCUCUUCCUCCCUAGGAUGCGCGCCUCCCCCCGCCUCCUCCGGCCGGAACCCUAGCCAGGCAGGCGCGCAGCAGGCGGGCCCCCCGCGCCGAUGGGGAGGCCGGGGUACCUGACGCUGCCCAUCUUGGCGGUGCUCGCCGCGAUCGGCUACGUCUACUACACCACGGUCUUCGUCGCCGUCGCCGGCUGGCUCGGCCUCGCCACGGCCGCCGGGGUCGCCAACGCCGCCGCCUUCACGGCCCUCGCCGCCGCCUGCCUCGCCACCUACGCCGCCGCCGUCUCCCGGGACCCCGGCCGGGUGCCGCCCGCCUUCCUGCCCGACGUCGAGGGCGCCGAGACCCCCGUCCACGAGGUCAAGCGCAAGGGUGGUGAUUUGAGAUAUUGCCAGAAAUGUGGCCACUAUAAGCCCCCACGCGCACACCAUUGCCGUGUGUGCAAGAGAUGUGUUCUGAAAAUGGACCAUCACUGUAUUUGGAUUAAUAACUGUGUUGGGCACGAAAACUACAAGAUAUUCUUGGUCUUUGUAUUGUAUGCUGUAAUUGCAAGCCUCUAUUCAAUGAUUCUAAUUGUAGGGAGCGUCAUUCACAGUGCUCCGAAAGAUGAACAGUUAAGCAGUGAUUCUUCUAGAACAUUGAUUAUUAUUUGUGGGAUCAUUCUUUGUCCAUUAACUCUGGCGCUGUCGGUGCUCUUGGGCUGGCAUAUCCACCUCAUAUUACAGAAUAAAACUACAAUUGAGUACCAUGAAGGAGUUAGAGCAAUGUGGUUGGCAGAAAAGGGUGGAGACCUUUAUCAUCAUCCAUAUGACCUUGGUGUCUAUGAGAAUCUUAUUUCGGUGCUUGGGCGUAGCAUAUUCUGCUGGCUCUGCCCAGUAUCAGUCAAUACAGGCAGUGGCCUACGGUUCCGUGCAUCCUAUGAUAUUUUACCAUCUACACCGCCAUGUGAUUUACAAAAGAUAGCAUUACAUUCACAUUGAGGUACAUAGUUGCUAAUAUGAAAAAGGGGAUUGAUAUUCCUAUUCAAGUGCCCAAAGUGUACAAUUUCUGAGCCAUUUCGGAUUGUAACAGGUUAGCGGAUACUUCUUAAAACCCUCAAAUGUAAGAUAUGAGAAAAGAUACAUGCGGAUCCAGAAGUAUUUACACCUCUCCAGGGUUCCGUUUUGAGAUGGUCGUAUUUCCGGUACGAGGAAGAUGACUGCUGCCUCAGCUCAUAAUCCGGUCUCAGCUGUGUUUGUACACAAAAAGUUUAACCCUUGUGUUGUAAAGUGAAUGUACAUGCUGUGUUCGGAAGCAAAAGCAUAUCAAAGCAAAUUUUGCAGAGACUGAGAUGCACGCCUGUUCAGAAGUAAAUGCCACAUUUGCUGUAUACACUCAUCUGCAAUUACAUUAUCUCAGACAUGGAAAUGUCAUUGCUGUGC